rnacentral:rRNA from 1 species
UGGGGGAUAUUGCACAAUGGGCGAAAGCCUGAUGCAGCGACGCCGCGUAGGGGAUGAAGGCUUUCGGGUUGUAAACCUCUUUCGCUAUCGAACAAGGCCCGCUUAGGGUGGGUUGAGGGUAGGUGGAGAAGAAGCGCCGGCUAACUACGUGCCAGCAGCCGCGGUAAUACGUAGGGCGCGAGCGUUGUCCGGAAUUAUUGGGCGUAAAGGGCUUGUAGGCGGCUUGUUGCGCCUGCUGUGAAAACGCGGGGCUUAACUUCGCGCGUGCAGUGGGUACGGGCAGGCUUGAGUGUGGUAGGGGUGACUGGAAUUCCAGGUGUAGCGGUGGAAUGCGCAGAUAUCUGGAGGAACACCGAUGGCGAAGGCAGGUCACUGGGCCAUUACUGACGCUGAGGAGCGAAAGCAUGGGUAGCGAACAGG